rnacentral:rRNA from 1 species
GAUGAACGCUGGCGGCGUGCCUAAUACAUGCAAGUCGAGCGAACGGACGAGAAGCUUGCUUCUCUGAUGUUAGCGGCGGACGGGUGAGUAACACGUGGAUAACCUACCUAUAAGACUGGGAUAACUUCGGGAAACCGGAGCUAAUACCGGAUAAUAUUUUGAACCGCAUGGUUCAAAAGUGAAAGACGGUCUUGCUGUCACUUAUAGAUGGAUCCGCGCUGCAUUAGCUAGUUGGUAAGGUAACGGCUUACCAAGGCAACGAUGCAUAGCCGACCUGAGAGGAUGAUCAGCCACACUGGAACUGAGACACGGUCCAGACUCCUACGGGAGGCAGCAGUAGGGAAUAUUCCGCAAUGGGCGAAAGCCUGACGGAGCAACGCCGCGUGAGUGAUGAAGGUCUUCGGAUCGUAAAGCUCUGUUAUUAGGGAAGAACAUAUGUGUAAGUAACUGUGCACAUCUUGACGGUACCUAAUCAGAAAGCCACGGCUAACUACGUG